AAAGAAAAAGAAAAAGAAAAUAAGAAAGAGAGAGAGAGAGACAUUGCAAGCAAUUUACCAUACCAUUAUUGUGUUUACUGACAUGAACAGUGCAGUGUUGUCCCCGCGACCCAGCUCUUUCCGCAGACGUAUUAUGAACAUUAUGAUGUUAACAUGAAUGUUUGUAUGUUUGUUUGUUUUGUUAUUAUCUAUAGAUGUUAUGAGUUACAAGAGGCGUGGUAUCAGAAAGGUCCUGGAUGCGUGGCGGCGUCAACAGGGUAAGAAAGCCGCGGGAAGUUUCUGAUGCGUUAUUCCUGGGGGAUAUCGAAGGCGCUGGAGCUGCCAGGUGAAGAGAGAAACGAGCAGCCCCUACAGGGCGAAGGAUUAAGUGAUAUUUGGCAACAGGAUGUUGCCUUAUCUUGUUGCCACUCCAUCCCCGAACAGCAAGUUAACCUUUGCCUCACAGGAAAUGGGAAUGUUAAAUGUGUCACCUUCGAUGGAGGACUUCCCAUACGAACGAGGUUUUCAAGUAUGACUCUUCUGCACAUCGGUAGCAUGGGCGGAGAGUGUAGGUGGUGACCACUACCACGAGCGGAUCGCUGUCCUUGUCUAGGAGUCUUUGUGCAGUCCAAGUCACCAAGUCAUUUUUAAUUCUCGCUACUUACCAGCCUCUCGUAAAACUGAAAAUAUGUAAGGAUAGUCGAGUUCUCCCGGGCAAGAGGGUUCAUGGCGAUGGGGUGCCUGGGCAACCUGCACAUGACCUGAUUUGAGAGUGGAAAU